rnacentral:rRNA from 1 species
UAGAGUUUGAUCCUGGCUCAGGAUGAACGCUGGCGGCGUGCUUAACACAUGCAAGUCGAACGAACCUUCGGGUUAGUGGCGGACGGGUGAGUAACACGUGAGAAUCUGCCCUCAGGAGGGGGAUAACGGUUGGAAACGACCGCUAAUACCCCAUAUGCCGAUAGGUGAAAUGAAUUUCGCCUGAGGAUGAGCUCGCGUCUGAUUAGCUUGUUGGUGAGGUAAUGGCUCACCAAGGCUUCGAUCAGUAGCUGGUCUGAGAGGAUGAUCAGCCACACUGGGACUGAGACACGGCCCAGACUCCUACGGGAGGCAGCAGUGGGGAAUUUUCCGCAAUGGGCGAAAGCCUGACGGAGCAACGCCGCGUGAGGGACGAAGGCCUCUGGGCUGUAAACCUCUUUUCUCAAGGAAGAAGAUAUGACGGUACUUGAGGAAUAAGCCACGGCUAAUUCCGUGCCAGCAGCCGCGGUAAUACGGGAGUGGCAAGCGUUAUCCGGAAUUAUUGGGCGUAAAGCGUCCGCAGGCGGCCUUUCAAGUCUGUUGUUAAAGCGUGGAGCUUAACUCCAUUAUGGCAGUGGAAACUGAAAGGCUUGAGUAUGGUAGGGGCAGAGGGAAUUCCCGGUGUAGCGGUGAAAUGCGUAGAUAUCGGGAAGAACACCAGUGGCGAAGGCGCUCUGCUGGGCCAUUACUGACGCUCAUGGACGAAAGCCAGGGGAGCGAAAGGGAUUAGAUACCCCUGUAGUCCUGGCCGUAAACGAUGAACACUAGGUGUCGGGGGAAUCGACCCCUUCGGUGUCGUAGCUAACGCGUUAAGUGUUCCGCCUGGGGAGUACGCACGCAAGUGUGAAACUCAAAGGAAUUGACGGGGGCCCGCACAAGCGGUGGAGUAUGUGGUUUAAUUCGAUGCAACGCGAAGAACCUUACCAGGGUUUGACAUCCUGAGAACCUCUUAGAAAUUUGAGGGUGCCUUCGGGAAUUCAGUGACAGGUGGUGCAUGGCUGUCGUCAGCUCGUGUCGUGAGAUGUUGGGUUAAGUCCCGCAACGAGCGCAACCCACGUUUUUAGUUGCCAGCAUUUAGUUGGGCACUCUAGAAAGACCGCCGGUGAUAAACCGGAGGAAGGUGUGGAUGACGUCAAGUCAUCAUGCCCCUUACACCCUGGGCUACACACGUACUACAAUGCCACGGACAAAGGGCAGCAAACUCGCGAGAGCUAGCAAAUCCCAUAAACCGUGGCUCAGUUCAGAUCGUAGGCUGCAACUCGCCUACGUGAAGUAGGAAUCGCUAGUAAUCGCAGGUCAGCAUACUGCGGUGAAUACGUUCCCGGGCCUUGUACACACCGCCCGUCACACCAUGGAAGUUGGCCAUGCCCGAAGUCGUUACUCCAACCCUUGUGGAGGAGGACGCCGAAGGUGGGGCUAAUGACUGGGGUGAAGUCGUAACAAGGUAACCA